UGUUUAUAUGAACUACAUGCCGAAUGCCGAUAUGUGUGGAGUGUGGUUGCUCACUGUAUAUGCAGAGUUGGGAUGUGACUGAAAACAUUGAAGUUUCGUUACCGUUGGAAGAUUUCAUGUACAUAGUACAUACUAUGCAAAAUGUGGAGUCAAUUGUACGCUGACGAAAGCUGCAAAACAACUGAGCCAGCUCCACAAGCACGACCUGACUGAAGCAUUAAAUCUUAUUUGUCUGUGAAUAUUUCGCUACGUAGUUUGUCAGCCUUCAAUUUGAUUUUGGUGCCAAUCUGAAUAACUGUACAGCCAGUGCUGAAAAAUCCUUUAGCAAACUGAAGCUAUUUAAAAACUCCGAAGCACAAUGGGUAACUAAACGAUAGAUUAAGCAGUUUACAGUUUAGCCAUCAUCUCAAUCAAGAACUUAACAGCAAGACAACUUGACAAGAAAGAGCUGGCCCAAUUUGAUGCUCUUUCCAAACCUAAGAGAGUUGCUUGGAAUAUGAACUGUACGGUAAUGUAAAUAUUAUGUAGUAUUGAAAAAUGUAAAUUGAUUUUUAUUUCCAUAUUUUUAUCUGUUAUUGCUACCUGUUA